UUUGACGUUAGCGACAGAAGAAGCACCGGCUAACUCCGUGCCAGCAGCCGCGGUAAUACGGAGGGUGCGAGCGUUAAUCGGAAUUACUGGGCGUAAAGCGCAUGCAGGUGGUUUGUUAAGUCAGAUGUGAAAGCCCGGGGCUCAACCUCGGAAUUGCAUUUGAAACUGGCAGACUAGAGUACUGUAGAGGGGGGUAGAAUUUCAGGUGUAGCGGUGAAAUGCGUAGAGAUCUGAAGGAAUACCGGUGGCGAAGGCGGCCCCCUGGACAGAUACUGACACUCAGAUGCGAAAGCGUGGGGAGCAAACAGGAUUAGAUACCCUGGUAGUCCACGCCGUAAACGAUGUCUACUUGGAGGUUGUGGCCUUGAGCCGUGGCUUUCGGAGCUAACGCGUUAAGUAGACCGCCUGGGGAGUACGGUCGCAAGAUUAAAACUCAAAUGAAUUGACGGGGGCCCGCACAAGCGGUGGAGCAUGUGGUUUAAUUCGAUGCAACGCGAAGAACCUUACCUACUCUUGACAUCCA
rnacentral:rRNA from 1 species